rnacentral:rRNA from 1 species
CCUACGGGAGGCAGCAGUAGGGAAUCUUGCGCAAUGGGCGAAAGCCUGACGCAGCCAUGCCGCGUGAAUGAUGAAGGCCUUAGGAUUGUAAAAUUCUUUCACCGGGGACGAUAAUGACGGUACCCGGAGAAGAAGCCCCGGCUAACUUCGUGCCAGCAGCCGCGGUAAUACGAAGGGGGCUAGCGUUGCUCGGAAUUACUGGGCGUAAAGGGAGCGUAGGCGGAUAGUUUAGUCAGAGGUGAAAGCCCAGGGCUCAACCUUGGAACUGCCUUUGAUACUGGCUAUCUUGAGUAUGGGAGAGGUGAGUGGAACUCCGAGUGUAGAGGUGAAAUUCGUAGAUAUUCGGAAGAACACCAGUGGCGAAGGCGACUCACUGGCCCAUUACUGACGCUGAGGCUCGAAAGCGUGGGGAGCAAACAGGAUUAGAUACCCUGGUAGUCCACGCCGUAAACGAUGAGUGCUAGUUGUCGGCAUGCAUGCAUGUCGGUUGACGCGACGCUACGCAUAGCGACGUCCGCCGUCGGGAGGUACGGUCGGCGAAGAGUUAAACGUUACGAAGUAAGUUAGACGGCGNGAGAGNGCGAGCGACGACGAGGAGAGG